GUGUAUAUAUGUAUACACAUAUAUGUGUGUAUAUAUGUAUACACAUAUAUGUGUGUAUAUAUGUAUACAUA
rnacentral:pre_miRNA from 8 species